CCUACGGGUGGCUGCAGUCGAGAAUCAUUCACAAUGGGGGAAACCCUGAUGGUGCGACGCCGCGUGGGGGAAUGAAGGUCUUCGGAUUGUAAACCCCUGUCAUGUGGGAGAAAAUUAAAAUGAGAGUACCCCACGAGGAAGAGACGGCUAACUCAGUGCCAGCAGCCGCGGUAAUACAGAGGUCUCAAGCGAGGUUAGGAAUUACUGGGCGGAAGGCGUGCGUAGGCAGUGUGGUAAGUCGGGUGUGAAAGGCCCGGGCUUAACCCGCGGACUGCCGAUGAUACUGCGGGACUAGAGUGAAGGAGCGGUAGGCGGAAUUUACGGUGUAGCAGUGAAAUGCGUAGAUAUCGAGAGGAACACUCGUGGCGAAGGCGGCUUCCUGGACAUUAUCUGACGUUGAGGCACGAAGGCCAGGGGAGCGAAAGGGAUUAGAUACCCCUGUAGUC
rnacentral:rRNA from 1 species